rnacentral:misc_RNA from 1 species
GACAGAGGGUGCAAGCGUUGUUCGGAAUUAUUGGGCGUAAAGCGCACGUAGGCGGUCGCGUAAGUCGGGUGUGAAAGCCCGGGGCUCAACCCCGGAAGUGCACUCGAAACUGUGUGACUCGAGUCCCGGAGAGGAUGGCGGAAUUCCUGGUGUAGAGGUGAAAUUCGUAGAUAUCAGGAGGAACAUCCGUGGCGAAGGCGGCCAUCUGGACGGUGACUGACGCUGAGGUGCGAAAGCGUGGGGAGCAAACAGG